rnacentral:rRNA from 1 species
GACGAACGCUGGCGGCGUGCUUAACACAUGCAAGUCGAGCGGUAAGGCCCUUCGGGGUGACACGAGCGGCGAACGGGUGAGUAACACGUGGGUGAUCUGCCUCGKACUUCGGGAUAAGCCUGGGAAACUGGGUCUAAUACCGGAUAUGACCACAUGCUGCAUGGUGUGUGGUGGAAAGAUUUAUCGGUGCGAGAUGGGCCCGCGGCCUAUCAGCUUGUUGGUGGGGUAAUGGCCUACGCAAGGCGACGACGGGUAGCCGACCUGAGAGGGUGACCGGCCACACUGGGACUGAGACACGGCCCAGACUCUCCUACGGGRGGCAGCAGUGGGGAAUAUUGGACAAUGGGCGCAAGCUGAUCCAGCAAUGCCGCGUGUGUGAAGAAGGSCUUCGGGUUGUAAAGCACUUUUAUCGGGAACGAAAAGCGUACGGCUAAUAUCCGUGCGUGCUGACGGUACCCGAGGAAUAAGCACCGGCUAACUUCGUGCCAGCAGCCGCGGUAAUACGAAGGGUGCAAGCGUUAAUCGGAAUUACUGGGCGUAAAGCGUGCGUAGGUGGUCUUUUAAGUCCGUUGUGAAAGCCCUGGGCUCAACCUGGGAAUGGCAGUGGAUACUGGGAGGCUAGAGUACGGUAGAGGAUGGUGGAAUUCCCGGUSUAGCGGUGAAAUGCGUAGAGAUCGGGAGCGAACAUCAGUGGCGAAGGCGGCCAUCUGGACCMGUACUGACGCUGAGGCACGAAAGCGUGGNGAGCAAACAGGAUUAGAUACCCUGGUAGUCAAU